GUAAAGCAGUUAAACACAAUGCGCAUGCGUAAGGAAGCGGACAGGAAGGGGGCGGGGCUGAGGCUGGUCGGCGCGAGGAAAAUGGCGGCCGUGGCUGCAGCUGCAGCGCGAACGGACCGGAGGGAGCAGGGGAUGGAGGUGGACGCAGCUGUCUCCAGCGUGAUGGCUUCCCGAGUGACUGGGAGAGUUUCUGUCUCUCUUCUUCUCCUUGUCCUUCUCAACAUCUCGGGCUACUGGAUCCGCAUGCGCUCCCAGGAGAGGCGGCCUAUGCAAGUGAUUGGGGCUCUGAGGUGGAAGCGGAGGGCCGAAAUAUCGAGGUGAUGAACUCCUUUUAGCUGCUGUCCCACACUGUGGAAGAAAAGAUUAUCAAUGGCAAGGAAUAUUAUUACACCAAGGAGGAGCAGUUUAAACAGUUAUUCGAGGAGCUGGAGUUUGUGGGUUGGUAUAUCACAGUGGGGGCACCUGACCCUUCCAACAUGCAUAUGCAUAAGCAGGUAUGUGAGAUAAUCCAGAGCCCCCUCUUUCUUAAGUUGAACCCUUUGACCCAGCACACAGAUCUUCCUGUCAGCUUUUUGAGUCUGUCAUUGAUAUAAUAAAUGGAGAGGCCACAAUGGUAUCUGCUGAGCUGACCUACUCUCUGGCCACAGAAGAGGCUGAACACGUUGGUGUAGACAGUGUGGCCCGAAUAAUAGCAACAGGCAGUGGAGAGAAUUCCACUGUGGCCGAACACCGCAUUGCACAACACAGUGCCAUCAAGAUGCUGCACAGCCGCGUCAAGCUCAUCUUGGAGUACGUCAAAGCGUCUGGAGCUGGAGAGGUCCCCUUUAACCAUGAGAUCCUGGGGGAGGCCUAUGCUCUGUGUCACUGCCACCUGGUGCUCAACACAGACAGGUUCAAGACGGAUUUUUGUGAUCAGUGCAAUGACGUGAGGCUUAUGGCUUAUCUCCGCACCAUCACCAAAACGUGCAACACCAUGAACCAGUUUGUGAACAAGUUCAAUGUCCUCUUUGAUCAACAAGGCAUUGAUAGACGGAUGCUGGGGCUCUUUUGAGAGAGUACUUGAAGGGAUGAUGCACAGGGGUUAGGCAACUGUUCCAAAAGGAGGGGCACCACACUCCCUUUAGAGAAACCUCUGUCAUUAAUAAAAGGGGAGCAGCCCCUCAGCACCAAAAAAAUAAAAAAAAUAAAGCAGUUAAAAUCAAACCUGCUGCUUACAGCACUAUGGGUUCACCUGAAAAGGUGAUGCUGACAGCUAAUAGAUUCCUCAGGUGAGCCAGAUGUUCACCAAGUGCCACACAGUGGAAAAGCAGGUGUCUAUUGCUGAAAGUCACAGAAGACAACAGAGCCCGAAAUUCAACCUGAGUUUCAAGUGGAGCACACGGACAUUCCUGAUGGUGACCUCCCAUCGUUUUCUCACACUGGAACACCCCAGAAAAAAUAACGCUUUCAUUUCUCCUAAGUAUCAAAACAGGAUUGGACCCCAUUUUACAAAAGAAGAAAG